rnacentral:rRNA from 1 species
AUUGAACGCUAGCGGGAUGCUUUACACAUGCAAGUCGAACGAGUGGCGGACGGGUGAGUAAUAUAUCGGCACGUGCCCAGUAGCGGGGGAUAACUACUCGAAAGAGUGGCUAAUACCGAAUCCUUUUGAGGCGGCCGAUAUCGUAUUAGCUGGUUGGUGGGGUAAAGGCUAACCAAGGCAACGAUCCGUAGCUGGUUUGAGAGGACGACCAGCCACACUGGGACUGGGACACGGCCCAGACUCCUACGGGAGGCAGCAGUGGGGAAUUUUGGACAAUGGGGGAAACCCUGAUCCAGCCAUCCCGCGUGUAUGAGAAGGCCUUCGGGUUGUAAAGUACUUUUGGCAGAGAAGCGGUAUCUGCAGAAUAAGCACCGGCUAACUACGUGCCAGCCGCCGCGGUAAUUC